rnacentral:rRNA from 1 species
UACAGAGACUGCAAGCGUUAUUCGGAUUCAUUGGGCGUAAAGGGUGCGCAGGCGGCCAAGUGUGUUAGGCGUGAAAGCCUGGGGCUUAACCCCAGAAUUGCACCUAAAACUACAUGGACUAGAGCAUUGGAGAGGGUAGCGGAAUUCACGGUGUAGCAGUGAAAUGCGUAGAUAUCGUGAGGAACACCAGAGGCGAAGGCGGCUACCUGGACAAUUGCUGACGCUCAGGCACGAAAGCGUGGGGAGCAAAAGGG